CGUUCCCGGGUCUUGUACACACCGCCCGUCACACCACGAGAGUUUGUAACACCCGAAGUCGGUGGGGUAACCUUUUGGAGCCAGCCGUCUAAGGUGGGACAGAUGAUUGGGGUG
rnacentral:rRNA from 1 species